rnacentral:rRNA from 1 species
UUAAGCAUAUCAAUAAGCGGAGGAAAAGAAACCAACAGGGAUUGCCCUAGUAACGGCGAGUGAAGCGGCAACAGCUCAAAUUUGAAAUCUGGCCUUCGGGUCCGAGUUGUAAUUUGUAGAGGAUGCUUUUGGCGCGGUGCCUUCCGAGUUCCCUGGAACGGGACGCCUUAGAGGGUGAGAGCCCCGUACGGUUGGACACCAAGCCUCUGUAAAGCUCCUUCGACGAGUCGAGUAGUUUGGGAAUGCUGCUCUAAAUGGGAGGUAAAUUUCUUCUAAAGCUAAAUAUUGGCCAGAGACCGAUAGCGCACAAGUAGAGUGAUCGAAAGAUGAAAAGCACUUUGAAAAGAGGGUUAAAUAGCACGUGAAAUUGUUGAAAGGGAAGCGUUUGCGACCAGACCUUUUCCUAGCGGAUCAUCCGGUGUUCUCACCGGUGCACUUCGCUAGGUUGAGGCCAGCAUCGGUUUCUGUAGGGGGAUAAAAGCUUGGGGAAUGUAGCUCCUUCGGGAGUGUUAUAGCCCCUUGCAUAAUACCCUUACGGGGACCGAGGACCGCGCUUCGGCAAGGAUGCUGGCGUAAUGGUCGUCAACGACCCGUCUUGAAACACGGACCAAGGAGUCGAACAUUUGUGCGAGUGUUUGGGUGUUAAACCCUCACGCGUAAUGAAAGUGAACGGAGGUGAGAGCCCUUACGGGUGCAUCAUCGACCGAUCCUGAUGUCUUCGGAUGGAUUUGAGUAAGAGCAUAACUGUUCGGACCCGAAAGAUGGUGAACUAUGCGUGGAUAGGGUGAAGCCAGAGGAAACUCUGGUGGAGGCUCGCAGCGGUUCUGACGUGCAAAUCGAUCGUCAAAUCUGCGCAUGGGGGCGAAAGACUUAUCGAACCAUCUAGUAGCUGGUUACCGCCGAAGUUCCC